rnacentral:rRNA from 1 species
CGGUGGUGAGCGGCGAACGGGUGAGUAACACGUAGGUUAUCUGCCCAUCAGACGGGGACAACGAUUGGAAACGAUCGCUAAUACCGGAUAGGACGAAAGUUUAAAGGUGCUUCGGCACCACUGAUGGAUGAGCCUGCGGCGCAUUAGCUAGUUGGUAGGGUAAAGGCCUACCAAGGCGACGAUGUGUAGCCGACCUGAGAGGGUGAACGGCCACACUGGGACUGAGACACGGCCCAG